AUUGAACGCUGGCGGCAUGCUUUACACAUGCAAGUCGAACGGUAACAGGCCGCAAGGUGCUGACGAGUGGCGAACGGGUGAGUAAUGCAUCAGAACGUGCCCAGUCGUGGGGGAUAGCUGCUCGAAAGAGCAGCUAAUACCGCAUACGAUCUGCGGAUGAAAGCGGGGGACCUUCGGGCCUCGCGCGAUUGGAGCGGCCGAUGUCAGAUUAGGUAGUUGGUGGGGUAAAGGCUCACCAAGCCAACGAUCUGUAGCUGGUCUGAGAGGACGACCAGCCACACUGGGACUGAGACACGGCCCAGACUCCUACGGGAGGCAGCAGUGGGGAAUUUUGGACAAUGGGGGCAACCCUGAUCCAGCAAUGCCGCGUGCAGGAAGAAGGCCUUCGGGUUGUAAACUGCUUUUGUACGGAACGAAACGGUCUGGGUUAAUACCCUGGGCUAAUGACGGUACCGUAAGAAUAAGCACCGGCUAACUACGUGCCAGCCGCCGCGGUAAUAC
rnacentral:rRNA from 1 species